rnacentral:rRNA from 1 species
CUGGUUGAUCCUGCCAGUAGUCAUAUGCUUGUCUCAAAGAUUAAGCCAUGCAUGUCUCAGUGCAAGCCGCAUUAAGGUGAAACCGCGAAAGGCUCAUUAAAUCAGUUGUGGUUCCUUAGAUCGUACCCAAGUUACUUGGAUAACUGUGGUAAUUCUAGAGCUAAUACAUGCCGACAGAGUUCCGACCGUCGCGGCGCCCUCCGGGACGUCGCGUGCGGGAGGAACGCUUUUAUUAGAUCAAAACCGGCCCGUCGCGGCGCGCCUCGCGCGCGUCCCGAUCGCGGCCCGCGCAAAGACCUGGUGACUCUGAAUAACUUCGAGCUGAUCGCACGGUCUCCGUACCGGCGACGCAUCUUUCAAAUGUCUGCCUUAUCAACUGUCGACGGUAGGUUCCAUGCCUACCGUGGUGGUAACGGGUAACGGGGAAUCAGGGUUCGAUUCCGGAGAGGGAGCCUGAGAAACGGCUACCACAUCCAAGGAAGGCAGCAGGCGCGCAAAUUACCCACUCCCGGAACGGGGAGGUAGUGACGAAAAAUAACGAUACGGGACUCAUCCGAGGCCCCGUAAUCGGAAUGAGAACACUUUAAAACCUUUAAACGAGGAUCAAUUGGAGGGCAAGUCUGGUGCCAGCAGCCGCGGUAAUUCCAGCUCCAAUAGCGUAUAUUAAAGUUGUUGCGGUUAAAAAGCUCGUAGUCGGAUCUGUGUCUGGGCGGUGCCGGACCACCCUGGCGGU